UCCUGUUGUAUGGCCAAGUGUAAGGAAUCUC
rnacentral:piRNA from 1 species